GACGAACGCUGGCGGCGUGCCUAAUACAUGCAAGUAGAACGCUGAAGGAGGAGCUUGCUUCUCUGGAUGAGUUGCGAACGGGUGAGUAACGCGUAGGUAACCUGCCUGGUAGCGGGGGGUAACUAUUGGAAACGAUAGCUAAUACCGCAUAACAGUAGAUGUUGCAUGACAUUUGCUUAAAAGGUGCAAUUGCAUCACUACCAGAUGGACCUGCGUUGUAUUAGCUAGUUGGUGGGGUAACGGCUCACCAAGGCGACGAUACAUAGCCGACCUGAGAGGGUGAUCGGCCACACUGGGACUGAGACACGGCCCAGACUCCUACGGGAGGCAGCAGUAGGGAAUCUUCGGCAAUGGACGGAAGUCUGACCGAGCAACGCCGCGUGAGUGAAGAAGGUUUUCGGAUCGUAAAGCUCUGUUGUAAGAGAAGAACGAGUGUGAGAGUGGAAAGUUCACACUGUGACGGUAUCUACCAGAAAGGAC
rnacentral:rRNA from 1 species